UGACUGCGUACCUUUUGUAUAAUGGGUCAGCGACUUAUAUUCUGUAGCAAGGUUAACCGAAUAGGGGAGCCGAAGGGAAACCGAGUCUUAACUGGGCGUUAAGUUGCAGGGUAUAGACCCGAAACCCGGUGAUCUAGCCAUGGGCAGGUUGAAGGUUGGGUAACACUAACUGGAGGACCGAACCGACUAAUGUUGAAAAAUUAGCGGAUGACUUGUGGCUGGGGGUGAAAGGCCAAUCAAACCGGGAGAUAGCUGGUUCUCCCCGAAAGCUAUUUAGGUAGCGCCUCGUGAAUUCAUCUCCGGGGGUAGAGCACUGUUUCGGCAAGGGGGUCAUCCCGACUUACCAACCCGAUGCAAACUGCGAAUACCGGAGAAUGUUAUCACGGGAGACACACGGCGGGUGCUAACGUCCGUCGUGAAGAGGGAAACAACCCAGACCGCCAGCUAAGGUCCCAAAGUCAUGGUUAAGUGGGAAACGAUGUGGGAAGGCCCAGACAGCCAGGAUGUUGGCUUAGAAGCAGCCAUCAUUUAAAGAAAGCGUAAUAGCUCACUGGUCGAGUCGGCCUGCGCGGAAGAUGUAACGGGGCUAAACCAUGCACCGAAGCUGCGGCAGCGACACUGUGUGUUGUUGGGUAGGGGAGCGUUCUGUAAGCCUGUGAAGGUGUGCUGUGAGGCAUGCUGGAGGUAUCAGAAGUGCGAAUGCUGACAUAAGUAACGAUAAAGCGGGUGAAAAGCCCGCUCGCCGGAAGACCAAGGGUUCCUGUCCAACGUUAAUCGGGGCAGGGUGAGUCGACCCCUAAGGCGAGGCCGAAAGGCGUAGUCGAUGGGAAACAGGUUAAUAUUCCUGUACUUGGUGUUACUGCGAAGGGGGGACGGAGAAGGCUAUGUUGGCCGGGCGACGGUUGUCCCGGUUUAAGCGUGUAGGCUGGUUUUCCAGGCAAAUCCGGAAAAUCAAGGCUGAGGCGUGAUGACGAGGCACUACGGUGCUGAAGCAACAAAUGCCCUGCUUCCAGGAAAAGCCUCUAAGCAUCAGGUAACAUCAAAUCGUACCCCAAACCGACACAGGUGGUCAGGUAGAGAAUACCAAGGCGCUUGAGAGAACUCGGGUGAAGGAACUAGGCAAAAUGGUGCCGUAACUUCGGGAGAAGGCACGCUGAUAUGUAGGUGAAGUCCCUCGCGGAUGGAGCUGAAAUCAGUCGAAGAUACCAGCUGGCUGCAACUGUUUAUUAAAAACACAGCACUGUGCAAACACGAAAGUGGACGUAUACGGUGUGACGCCUGCCCGGUGCCGGAAGGUUAAUUGAUGGGGUCAGCGCAAGCGAAGCUCUUGAUCGAAGCCCCGGUAAACGGCGGCCGUAACUAUAACGGUCCUAAGGUAGCGAAAUUCCUUGUCGGGUAAGUUCCGACCUGCACGAAUGGCGUAAUGAUGGCCAGGCUGUCUCCACCCGAGACUCAGUGAAAUUGAACUCGCUGUGAAGAUGCAGUGUACCCGCGGCAAGACGGAAAGACCCCGUGAACCUUUACUAUAGCUUGACACUGAACAUUGAGCCUUGAUGUGUAGGAUAGGUGGGAGGCUUAGAAGUGUGGACGCCAGUCUGCAUGGAGCCGACCUUGAAAUACCACCCUUUAAUGUUUGAUGUUCUAACGUUGACCCGUAAUCCGGGUUGCGGACAGUGUCUGGUGGGUAGUUUGACUGGGGCGGUCUCCUCCUAAAGAGUAACGGAGGAGCACGAAGGUUGGCUAAUCCUGGUCGGACAUCAGGAGGUUAGUGCAAUGGCAUAAGCCAGCUUGACUGCGAGCGUGACGGCGCGAGCAGGUGCGAAAGCAGGUCAUAGUGAUCCGGUGGUUCUGAAUGGAAGGGCCAUCGCUCAACGGAUAAAAGGUACUCCGGGGAUAACAGGCUGAUACCGCCCAAGAGUUCAUAUCGACGGCGGUGUUUGGCACCUCGAUGUCGGCUCAUCACAUCCUGGGGCUGAAGUAGGUCCCAAGGGUAUGGCUGUUCGCCAUUUAAAGUGGUACGCGAGCUGGGUUUAGAACGUCGUGAGACAGUUCGGUCCCUAUCUGCCGUGGGCGCUGGAGAACUGAGGGGGGCUGCUCCUAGUACGAGAGGACCGGAGUGGACGCAUCACUGGUGUUCGGGUUGUCAUGCCAAUGGCACUGCCCGGUAGCUAAAUGCGGAAGAGAUAAGUGCUGAAAGCAUCUAAGCACGAAACUUGCCCCGAGAUGAGUUCUCCCUGACCCUUUAAGGGUCCUGAAGGAACGUUGAAGACGACGACGUUGAUAGGCCGGGUGUGUAAGCGCAGCGAUGCGUUGAGCUAACCGGUACUAAUGAACCGUGAGGCUUAACCUU
rnacentral:rRNA from 1 species